rnacentral:rRNA from 1 species
GCUUAACACAUGCAAGUCGAGGGGCAGCACAGGUUUCAAUACCGGGUGGCGACCGGCGCACGGGUGAGUAACGCGUAUGCAACUUACCUAUCAGAGGGGGAUAACCCGGCGAAAGUCGGACUAAUACCGCAUGAAGCAGGGGUCCCGCAUGGGGAUAUUUGCUAAAGAUUCAUCGCUGAUAGAUAGGCAUGCGUUCCAUUAGGCAGUUGGCGGGGUAACGGCCCACCAAACCGACGAUGGAUAGGGGUUCUGAGAGGAAGGUCCCCCACAUUGGUACUGAGACACGGACCAAACUCCUACGGGAGGCAGCAGUGAGGAAUAUUGGUCAAUGGCCGAGAGGCUGAACCAGCCAAGUCGCGUGAGGGAUGAAGGUUCUACGGAUCGUAAACCUCUUUUAUAAGGGAAUAAAGUGCGGGACGUGUCCCGUUUUGUAUGUACCUUAUGAAUAAGGAUCGGCUAACUCCGUGCCAGCAGCCGCGGUAAUACGGAGGAUCCGAGCGUUAUCCGGAUUUAUUGGGUUUAAAGGGUGCGUAGGCGGCCUUUUAAGUCAGCGGUGAAAGUCUGUGGCUCAACCAUAGAAUUGCCGUUGAAACUGGGGGGCUUGAGUAUGUUUGAGGCAGGCGGAAUGCGUGGUGUAGCGGUGAAAUGCAUAGAUAUCACGCAGAACCCCGAUUGCGAAGGCAGCCUGCCAAGCCAUUACUGACGCUGAUGCACGAAAGCGUGGGGAUCAAACAGGAUUAGAUACCCUGGUAGUCCACGCAGUAAACGAUGAUCACUAGCUGUUUGCGAUACACUGUAAGCGGCACAGCGAAAGCGUUAAGUGAUCCACCUGGGGAGUACGCCGGCAACGGUGAAACUCAAAGGAAUUGACGGGGGCCCGCACAAGCGGAGGAACAUGUGGUUUAAUUCGAUGAUACGCGAGGAACCUUACCCGGGUUUGAACGCAUUCGGACCGAGGUGGAAACACCUUUUCUAGCAAUAGCCGUUUGCGAGGUGCUGCAUGGUUGUCGUCAGCUCGUGCCGUGAGGUGUCGGCUUAAGUGCCAUAACGAGCGCAACCCUUGCCACUAGUUACUAACAGGUAAAGCUGAGGACUCUGGUGGGACUGCCAGCGUAAGCUGCGAGGAAGGCGGGGAUGACGUCAAAUCAGCACGGCCCUUACAUCCGGGGCGACACACGUGUUACAAUGGCGUGGACAAAGGGAAGCCACCUGGCGACAGGGAGCGAAUCCCCAAACCACGUCUCAGUUCGGAUCGGAGUCUGCAACCCGACUCCGUGAAGCUGGAUUCGCUAGUAAUCGCGCAUCAGCCAUGGCGCGGUGAAUACGUUCCCGGGCCUUGUACACACCGCCCGUCAAGCCAUGGGAGCCGGGGGUACCUGAAGUCCGUAACCGCGAGGAUCGGCCUAGGGUAAAACUGGUGACUGGGGCUAAGUC